GCGGACCUGCCUGGUCCCCGGGGAGCCCUUAACCUCCCAUCUCCUGCGCUGCGUGCGUGCGGCGCGCAAACCAGGAGCUAGCGUUAGCCGCGAGGGACGCGGCUUUCAGGCCCGCGGCUUACAGUCCCACCAGGAUUAGCCCGAUUUGGCGCCGCCGGCGCUAUGCCAUGGAGAUGGUCACGGUGGUUGAAAAGGCUACAUGCUUAGCUGCAAACAGCCCACCGCUAUGCCAUUCAGCUGUCGUUAAAGUAUCCGCGCGGCCGUCCUGGACAGCUAGCUACGGCUUCAUCCGCGACCCCAGUAUAAGAGGCCGUGUUUGGGUCACGGCUCUGUGGACUUGUAAAUCUCAGGGUCGUUACCGUUGAUGUAUACCCUGUAUGUUACAAGUAACAUAUGUUAUGCGUGUAAAUGUAUGUAUAUACAUAGAUAGCUACUUUUCGUCGGGAGCCCGAUGAUACAAUCUAAGGAUUUUAGAGUGCCGAUAUGAUUCGAAAUGUGAUUCGUUAAAUAGUGCAAUUUUGCAAAAAUUGCGAUACAAUAUUACGGUUAAUUUGCACACCUUCUAUAAUAGGAAACACAGGCAUGCAGGGAUCUAGGGUAGAACCAUGUAACAGUGGAAUCUCAUUUUAAGGCCACUUUGCUUAUCAGACACAACUUACUUUAGUUUGAGAGGGCUUUGCUACUAACAGCCGAACCUUUCAAUCUUUGACUUGUUAUUUUACCAAUUUGCAACACAUACUCGCAGACUAGAGUUCACACACGAGGCGAAACCCAACAUCAAUAGCUCAACACUCAACUGUUUGAGCACGGACCUCCUGCACGCAGCCUACCCGGUGUCAAAGGUCAGCCCAAACGAACCCAACGACCCCGUGAAGUGAAUGGAAACUUGAUAUUUACGCACAUCGUUAAAUAGUGUUUAUGUCCCGCCGAAACUUAAAGCACUUCCUGGGCAUCCUGUGCUGAAGGCUGUCUACCCUUGACUCGUUUCCUGUCUACCUGCUCCUCGAAAUCUUCACUGGAACGAAAAUAAAAAGAGCCCCGCCAAUUUAAAAAAGAGUUCCCAUACAUCCCUGAUCCCACCGAUGGGUUUGGGUGGACGCAACCGCUGGUGGAAAGUCUCGGGCGCAUCACACAGGAAGUGAUGUCGUCGGCGCGUCAGGAAGUUCCACCCUGGCUGUGACACGGGGCAAUCAAAACAUCAACAUUUGAAUGCUUGUUUUUUCUCUCCAUGCUAGUUUCCAUUCAGUACAUGACUGACAUUGAGGUCAUUACCAAGAUGUAGGCGUUCUGGUUAUCUAUGCGUUGCGAACAAUGGUCACAUUUAAUAACAGUGUGGCUUUGUACAGGCUCCUAUGGUGGAUUGAAGAAGCUUCUGUUACAGGACAGUAGCACUUGGAGUCUCUAAUAGCCGUAGCAUUCAUGAGGGCCUGGAACGGGUAUUUCCAUCUUGCAGAUUCUCCAACGAAAAUAUAGGCAUCAUGAAUCCCAUUGGAAGUGUGAUAUUUUUUCUAACGAGCAUCCAAACAGAUCUCUUACAAUGAUGAUGACGAUAUAAUAAACAGAUAUUUGCUUUUGAAAGCCAACCAGGCUUUUUCUAGUUCAAUGUGGAUGAAUUAUACAAAAGGAUAAUUGAUUAUUUUCACAUCGCACACGUUAUGGCACAUUAGCUGAAGUGACGACGGCAUCACGUACACAUUUAUGGUGUCACUGGCUGUUACACAGAAUGACAAUGAGCAAAUUAUACACUGGGCUUAUUGUGUCUGACUGGGAGGUCUAUUCAGGCAAAAUAUGAAAUACCAGCAGAGUUGUCUGUCUGACUCUCUCGCCCUCCAUCUCUCUCUUACACACACACACACACACACACACACACACACACACACACACACACACACACACACACACACACACACACACACACACACACACACACACACACACACACACACACACACACAGUCUUAUCUCCCCCUCAAUCAGCCCCACUGUGAAAGUCUCAUCUGCCCCUCAGCCAAUCAAACACAGCCUCUUUGUCUGAGCUCAGCAGCGGUUGGUCGAACCCCUUCCUGUUCCUGUUAUGACAUCCUGGUCACCCCUAGGGGCCGUUAUUCCAAUCACAUUGACCAGGUGUCCCCCUAUUGGCACACACACACACAUACAGACACACACAAGUCUGCACACAAAAAUGCAAAUGAGUGUCUAAACGGCAAACAGACGUGCACACAGCUUCUGUCCGUUGCCCAAAUAAACACAUCCUGCUUAACAUGCAUACAUACACACUCGCUGACACACAACCCCCAAUGCGCACACAUCCCCAACAUACACACACACACACUCACACACUCACACCCACAACCCCCCCAAAGAGACGGAUCUCCACACCUGUGAUUGAUGACUGUUGGUUCUGUGUUAGUGGUUCUGCCUUGUGUGUGUGUGUGUGUGUGUGUGUGCCAGUGUGUGUGUGCCAGUGUGUGUGUGUGUGCGUGCCAAGGCAUGCCAUACAUAUAUUAUUAUGUUUUUAAUAUGUGCACAAUUGAGUUUGCAAUGAAAAAGUGCACAUUUUUCUCUGCAUACAUUUCAUGUUUCUUACUCGUGUUUGUGCGAGUCUCCUUGUGCACAUGAAAGCGUUUAUGCAAAUCUCAACCCAUUUUCCCGCUCCUUCCCUUCACUUCUCUCCUUCAGUAUUGUUCUAAGAUCUGAUCACAGAGCUGUUGAAAGACUUUCCCCUACAUUGCAUUAGAAGACAGCACGGUAUCACGCAUCCCGUCUGGUUGUUGAUGUGUUCUGCACCAAAAGGAAAGUUAUGGAAACUUUAGUUUUCGAAUUGAGUUUAUACCUGGUUCAUGAAGCACAACAGCAGCAGUAGCAGCCACAAUAUGAUGACAUGCCGGAGUCAACCACAACACACAGAAUGUGCUGUUUUCAAUGGUUUGGAUGUAACCUUCAGGACAAAAUAUGUUUAUAGGACGAACAUUCAUUGCAGCUGAAUAGAUGUAUUAUCUGAUAUGCUUUUAUCAAUACCCGAUGACAUCACUGUUGGCACUGUUUGAAUGGAAGAUGCGAUUAUCUUAUCCAGCGUUUUUCCAUACACCAGCACACACCCUCUUCUCUGCGCUAGUACAGUCAUGUGCAGACCGCCCGAUGCUGUUCUGGUGACAGGUUUGCCCCCUGAAAGGACCACCGCAAGCUGUUCCCAUCAUGUCUCCUUCCACUCCUUCAAAUCCUUUCCUUAUGUCACUCCCCUUUCUUUCCGUCUUCUCUGUCUGUGUCUUUCUGUCUCGCUCUUUCGCUUUUUCUCUCUCUCUCGUGCCCGUCUCUCUGGUCUCUCUUGUCCCCAUCUCUCUCUCUCUCUCUCUCUCUCUCUCUCUCUCUCUCUUUCUCUUUCUCUUUCUCUUUCUCUCUCUCUCUCUCUCUUUCCCCCCCCCCGUCUAUCUCUCUGUUUCUAUAUCUAUCUCUCCUGUCCCCGUCUCUAUCCACCAUCUAUUGGUGUGACAUUUCGCCCCGUCUUUAUGUCUUUGUGAAAGAUACAAUGGCACAGACUGGAGCCCUGGGCAACAACCCCAGAACCCUGCUUUAUUAAACACACACACACACACACACACACACACACACACACACACACACACACACACACACUGAAAGGGGUUCAGUUGGGCAAAGGUGGCAGACAUCAUUUCCGACGGAGCCAGUCACUAUCCAGUUGGUUUUUUGGUGUGUGCAGCAUUCGAGGUGUGAUCCAGUUGUGUGUGUGUGUGUGUGUGUGUGUGCGUGUGUGUGUUGAUGAGCGUUUGUGGCUCUGUAGAACCAAGCUGCUCGAGUGUGUGUUUAUCGCAAAUUCACCUGGUCUGACAGGUUUAAGUUGGCGUGCUUAUCUCACACGCACUCUUGGAGACAGGCUGUUCAGGAGCAGCGGUGCACGCCCAGGUCCUCACAUUAGCAACGUGUCAGGGUUCACCUCGGAUAAUACAGACGGAUAGGCAGAAACGCCGUUUGUGUGAGUGUCCUUUGUUAGAAAUGGCAUGGCCAGCCGUCAGUGAAAUGCUCUGAGCGAUUAUCUGUUUCUAGUUGUCUGCCUCUGUAUGAGAUCAUUUAGACCGACCAAUCAGGGCCAUCCCUUCUCCGAUCGGGCAGUCCAUCUUGCCUGUCAAUCCCAGACGUGUGAAAUGCAACACUUCUAAAUGUCGGUGAUGCGUAGGGAGGUAUGGAGGGAAGGAGAUAUAGGGUGUGCAGGGUGUUUUGUGGGGGGUUGUUUGGUUUGAAAAUGUUGUUCUCUUUUGCAAUUUGCUGCUGUACGUCUCUUGAGUGUUAGUGACAGCUGCCUCAAGCUAAAGAUGCACAAAAACAGGCAAUAAAACAAAAGUCGCUGCCACGCAUCACACCAAAAAAAUACAGCCGCACUUUGGCUUGUAUCAACCACAAGCGCAAAGACGACGAAUAAAAUGGCGGCAAACACACCGAAAGAGAAACCCAUCAUCUUUCCCCGCCGAUCAAGAGCCGGAAAACGACAGAGCGGUGCAGGAAGAUGGACAGUCGGGAGACAUAGUGGCGGGGAGGUUGGAGGUUGUGAUAAUGUGGUGUCAGCCGUGACAGAUGAGGCGGAGUAGGCACAGACAGGGGAGUUAUCAACCCCCUACUGACACACACACACACACACACCCUCCCCUAAAGCGACACCCAUGAUGUGUGUCUGUGUGUGAGUGUGUGUGUGUGUGUGUGUGUGUGUGCGCGCAGUAAAGCGCGCCUAAUGGGUGUUUUCUUAGACAAUGGAGUCAUUAGAGCACUAGUCCUGGUGGGUGUGUGUGUGUGUGUGCCGUGCAUGUGACAAACUAACGAUGUAUCGACGCCUGCCAGACACAUUACCGCAGGCUUGGGUCCUACUGUGUGUGUGUGUGUGUGUGUGUGUGUGUGUGUGUGUAUGUGCUUCAUACAUCUCUAUCCAUAUUCAUCGUGCUGGCACCAUAUGGUGCCAAUGCAGGGUGAAAGAGGCAGGGCUGGUGGUGGGAUGGUGACGAACCAUUCUCGCCUCCACCAUCGCUGUACAAAACCUGCCUUGAUCCCACAUCAAUGGCUGGCUUACAGAGAGUAGAUCUUCCAAGAUGAUGCAAGGAUGUUUUUAUUGAGGUCAUCUGAUGUUUUGUGAUCCUUUAAUACUAUCGUAAUGGUCAGCAAGAGUGAUGCCAGGUGCAGUGCCUUUUAGGAUCUUGCACAAUAUCCACACUGUCUCUUAUCCCCUCACUCGUGAUCAGACCUGGGGCUUAUCCAAUCACUUAAGGCCCUUGCUAGUGAUCUGACCUAUUCUGUAAACACAGCGAUUGUGUACCGAGCUACAAUAUUGUUUUUCUUUGGUGCUAUUCCAUCAUUUGUGUGUUUUUUGUUGUGGUUUGGGGUCUGCACCUGCCUCGUUGUUCUUUGAAAGCCAAACAUAACCCAAGACAUGAUGCAUAUUGACUAUAGUUGAACGCACCGUAGCGAACACUGCCCAAUGGUGCAAUUAAUUUGCUUCAACAAAGUCAGCACCAACGUUUCGGCUUGAAAAAAGCCAAACUAAUUACAGAUUCCAGCGGGCCUUGGGCUGGCCCUUACCUAAGAUAUACUUGGUGACAUGCCGUCCCCGCCGUGUACUCCUCCAUGCAUUUCUCAGGAGGCACACCAGAACGCCACAUGUCGGUACGCCCUUCUGUUGUCAGCUAGCGUGUGGUCAGCUAGCCGUGUUGCCCACUGUGCGUGGGAAUGCUGCCGUGUGAGAAUCCUGAGACAAUAGUUGGCUGUUGCGGCAUGGCAGGUGUCGCGACGGACCGACUGCUGAUGUACACACCGUGGCGGUGGGGGGGUGGUUGGAACGUCGCUCCCGCCCAUCCCCUCAUGUUGUACCUGAAUCACAUCGUGGGACCAACCCCAGCUCCUCAUGUUGUACCUGAAUCACAUCGUGGGACCAACCCCAGCUCCUCAUGUUGUACCUGAAAAACAUCGUGGGACCAACCCCAGCUCCUCAUGUUGUACCUGAAUCACAUCGUGGGACCAACCCCAGCUCCUCAUGUUGUACCUGAAUCACAUCGUGGGACCAACCCCAGCUCCUCAUGUUGUACCUGAAAAACAUCAUGUGACCAACCCCAGCUCCUCAUGUUGUACCUGAAUCACAUCGUGGGACCAACCCCAGCUCCUCAUGUUGUACCUGAAUCACAUCGUGGGACCAACCCCAGCUCCUCAUGUUGUACCUGAAUCACAUCAUGUGACCAACCCCAGCUCUUCAUGUUGUACCUCAAUCACAUCAUGUGACCAACCCCAGCUCUGUAUGUUUUAACCUCAAUCACAUCAUGUGACCAACCCCAGCUCUGUAUGUUUUACCUGAAUCACAUCGUGUGAGCAGCCACCACAGUGUCCAACGCUGUUAUGACAAUCCUUAAGCAAAGCAUGUGAUGUGCACCCAAAGCAUGUAGAGAUGGCCAUGACUGUUUUGAUCCUCCUUCUGGAUCAAACCCUGUUCUUGCUUUUCAUCGUCACGUAUCUGAGACCAAACCUUGCGGAGUGGGAUUCCAGCAGUUGCAUCUCAAGCCGUCAAAGUCCGGAAAGGAGGGAUCUUGUUAUUUUAUUCCUAGAUUAUCUGAAGGUCAACUGCCAUGUUGUUGUUAUUCCUUCAUGCGAAGCGUCUCAGUCAUUUCCAUAGCAUGUCACUCCUGAAGGGAGCUGAACUGACAAUAGUCCCUUAGGGAAUUAUAGGCUCAAUGGUUGUAGAGAACCAUAUUCAUAUUCUGUAGUCAUUAAAUUAAAUGAAUUGUGGAAUGGAGUGAUGCCAAUGUCUUUAUUGUCUUGUGUUCUUAAUCUGUUGACUUAAAGGUUGUGUCCCAUGUCGUGGGCGUCGGCUUUAAACACACCGCGUCCUUUCACUGACAAGCCCCGACCAUUGGCAGUUGUUAUCCAAUUAUAUCGUCCUUUUCGUUGCCAAAAAACCUGCAAAAAACACCUGUGUACCUCUGGCACCCACACAGACACGGGUCCAUGUCAUGGCCUGUUUAAACUCCCAAAGCAGGACCACUGCCACAUGGCUGAGUUUCUGACAGGUUGACAGUCCUUUUUCAUCUAUUUGAUUAAACCGCUUGCGUAUCGUCAGUCCACAGCCUGGGGUUGCCCUGUUCUAGGCUUAGCCAUAAACUGGUUUUCAGGUACAGCUCAUACUGCACACACGUACACACACGUACAAACACACGUACAAACACACGUACACACGCGUACAAACACAGGUACACAAUACUACACACACGUACAAACACACGUACAAACACACGUACACACGUACAAACACACGUACACACGUACAAACACACGUACACACACAUACGCACGAGAUAUUACAAGAGGCUAUGCUUGCUCGGUAGCAUCUGACGCGCCUCGCCACACGACCACAAGACAGAUGUGGCAGGCCGGCGGGGGGGAGGGGGUGUGUGUGUGAAUGUAGGCCUCACACAAUCAAACUACGUGCGUGGGAUUUACAUUCGAUGAUCUGCCCUACUAGGCUGAGAUAAUCUCUGGUGACUACUGCACACCGGCUGAUUUAACGUUAACAGCCGACAAAAUGAUAACCUCGUACCACCGUUUAUGGUCCGCCUGGUCUUUGGGGAGACUCCUCUAUCCAAAGUGACACUGAAUACACACGCAUCCAUAAGGCGAAGACGCAGGUUACGACGUCUUGCUAAAGAAUCAGUGUCGGACACAGAACCUGCCAGCUGGCAGUUGAAACCCCUACUGGUUACUACUGGUUAUUACGACUGGUUCACGGCCACACAGAGAACCCGACCCAGUGGGUCCAGCAGGUCGCGGCUGGUUCCCACCGAGCCAAAGUGUUGUUUGUUGUGGUACAUCCAGCCAGGCCGCUAGGGCAGGGACAAGGGCGAAUAAAUGCAUUGGCAGCACUGCUUGGAACGAGCUUCCAGUCACCAGCCAGCCAGCCAGCCAGCCAGCCAGCCAGCCAGCAGUCUCCCAGACCUUGCCAAACUGACGGUGGGACUUCAGCCGAGUCUGCUCUGCCAACCCCCAGCCUUUGCAAGUCCUACCGUUUGAAAAUUUAAUUCAGUAAGAUACAUGUUCUUGGAAUUGGAUUUAAACAUUACCUCUGAAUCUUUCUCUCUAACUCUAUCUCUACUUGCACUUUUUAUUCCGGUAUCUUCUUAAGACAAUGAAUAAUGUGUUCUUUCACCGAAACGGUUACUGGUUGUUUAUGUGUCAGGAUAUUUAGUUUUGUUAAGAUGGGUCAUCCCCGAACAACGUCCUGCUUUCCUUUGUGAGGAAAUCAAAUGCAUAAACCAUCCCUAUUUCACUCACUAGGUAUCCUUGCCUCGUUGUCGUCUAUCCUUAUUGUAGCAUAGCAAUUAGCGAGGACCCCGCAGAGCAGAAUCAACUGCCCGAAGCAAGUCUGGCACUUACUUUUCAUGUUCUUAGCCCGGUACCCAAUAAAGAAAGAUAAUCAUAUAAUUCUUUAACAAAACAAAACCUAAGGGCCGCCACUGUAGCGGAUACGUAAACACAUUAUACAGGGUGGAUAAAAGAAAAAGUAAAAAAAAAAAAGACCAAUUACACCAAAUGUCCCAAUAUAAAUGUAAUUAUAUUCUUAGCCCCUAGCUGUAGGACUUCUCGAACCUCAGAUGUUUGUGGCUUUAUUUAUGAGGACGAGGUGUUGGGACGCGCCCCAGGGGCGGAAGCCCUCCUUGUCCCGCUCCAGCGACCUCGGAGCGUAUCACAACAAACCACAGUGGAAGUCCUCUGGGGUGGGGGGGGGGGGGGGGUGGGUGUCUGGUGUAUGUGGGGUAUGUGCUCACUGUUUUGUUUGAGGGUGUCCUGGCCUGCUGCCAGCUCUCUCUGCGAUACUGAUAAUACUCUCUCCUUCUCUUCCACUUAGAGCGCCGCCGUGUCCCGUAUCUCUUCCUCUCUCAAGCUCACGUUCAUACACGUACAUUUCUAUCCCUUAAUCCCUUUCUUGGCCAUGUAUCACUUUUCAGUAUUACCCAUUUCUCUUUGUAGCAGUACACUUGCCACCUCCGUCCGUUUGUCUGUCUGUUCCUUCUUCCAACCUCUGUCAGCGUUAGUUCCUGCUAUUGGUUAAAAACAAAAAAAAGAGAGCUAAAAAUGUGCUCCAACUGAAUCCUAUUAAAGUGUGCUUUCCUCCAUAAUGGCCGGUCCCAUGUGAACAGCAGAUUAACUACCAUCCCUGUUCCUCAUUUUUAAUACCGAAAAACCCUGCAGCACUUUGGCUGACAAGGCCAGCUGACGUACGUGUGUGUGUGUGUGUGUGUGUGUGUGUGUGUGUGUGUGUGUGUGUGUGUGUGUGUGUGUGUGUGUGUGUGUGUGUGUGUGUGUGUGUGUGUGUGUGUGUGUGUGUGUGUGUGUGUGUGUGUGUGUGUGUGAGACGGAGAGAGAAA